UACGUAGGUGACCAGCGUUGUCCGGAUUUACUGGGCGUAAAGAGCGCGCAGGCGGUCGUUCAAGUCGAGUGUGAAAGCCCCCGGCUCAACUGGGGAGGGUCAUUCGAUACUGAUCGACUUGAAGGCAGGAGAGGGAAGUGGAAUUCCCGGUGUAGUGGUGAAAUGCGUAGAUAUCGAGAGGAACACCGGUGGCGAAGGCGGCCUUCUGGACAGCAACUGACGCUGAGACGCGAAAGCGUGGGGAGCAAACAGG
rnacentral:rRNA from 1 species